rnacentral:pre_miRNA from 1 species
GAAUCCGUCGACUUGGUUGUGAAAUGUGUGAUUUUGUUUAGGUUCCAUAUCACAGCCAUUUUGACGAGUUUUA